UCGGAUAUGGUGUAACGGCUAACAUUGCCGCCUCUCAUAUUAAUUCGCGGCAGCUCGGGGUUCGAUUCCCCGUAUCCGAA
rnacentral:tRNA from 1 species